rnacentral:rRNA from 1 species
AUUGAACGCUGGCGGCAGGCCUAACACAUGCAAGUCGAGCGGAUGAAGGGAGCUUGCUCCUGGAUUCAGCGGCGGACGGGUGAGUAAUGCCUAGGAAUCUGCCUGGUAGUGGGGGAUAACGUCCGGAAACGGGCGCUAAUACCGCAUACGUCCUGAGGGAGAAAGUGGGGGAUCUUCGGACCUCACGCUAUCAGAUGAGCCUAGGUCGGAUUAGCUAGCUGGUGGGGUAAAGGCCUACCAAGGCGACGAUCCUUAACUGGUCUGAGAGGAUGAUCAGUCACACUGGAACUGAGACACGGUCCAGACUCCUACGGGAGGCAGCAUUGGGGAAUAUUGGACAAUGGGCGAAAGCCUGAUCCAGCCAUGCCGCGUGUGUGAAGAAGGUCUUCGGAUUGUAAAGCACUUUAAGUUGGGAGGAAGGGCAGUAAGUUAAUACCUUGCUGUUUUGACGUUACCAACAGAAUAAGCACCGGCUAACUUCGUG